UGGGCGACGGUGAACAUACGGCAAGAGGAGGAUGGGCAGCUUGCCGAGAAGUUGCUUAAUGUAAAAGCUGCUCUGCUUUUUACCAGUAAAAACAAAGUUAAUUGGUCAUGUUCUGUCUUACCGUGGAGGAGCAGUUGGCAUGAAGAUCAACGGUAGAUGGUUGAUUCCAGACGGUGGUCCAUGGCGUUAGCUUCCAUGUGUGAUGGUGGCAUUGGCUUCGCCUGCAGCUGAGGAAGGAAAACGUGGAGGCUACUGGAAAGUUGGCAAGCUCUCGGUGGUUGACAUGAGGCUAGGCAGCGAGGUUGCUGUGAUGCAACGAAACAACAAGCAAAAAAUUGAAGGAGAAGGAUGAGAGAAUAGGGAGGGAUUUUGUACGAAAGAAUGCAUCGUUUUCUUUAUGCCACGUAGACGCGAGGCCGCAAAGGGGAUAUCUUGCGGUUACAUAUAGACUUUUCCUUCUCCAGGUCUCCUCCCCAAACCCUAGCCACCUCUCCGUUCGUCAUCUUCGUUCUUCGUCACAGUUUGUGGUCGCCGUGGGUCGUCACAGCUCGUAGUCGCAGUUCAUCCCCUUUGUUGCUUCUCCACGAGGUCCAGAUCUACCCCACUCUCUCAUACUUUGAUCCAUCACAGGUAUCCAGUGCCUCAGCGUGCUGAGACUCAAGGUAGGAGUGAAGAAUACCUGGGCCGUCGGGUCAUUGAGAAGGUAAAG